UACGAAGGGGGCUAGCGUUGCUCGGAUUGACUGGGCGUAAAGGGCGCGUAGGCGGUUCGUACAGUCAGACGUGAAAUUCCUGGGCUCAACCUGGGGGCUGCGUUUGAUACGUGCGGACUUGAGUGCGGAAGAGGGUCGUGGAAUUCCCAGUGUAGAGGUGAAAUUCGUAGAUAUUGGGAAGAACACCGGUGGUGUAGACGGCUUUCUGGACCGACACUGACGCUGAGACACGAAAGCGUGGGUAGCAAACAGG
rnacentral:rRNA from 1 species